AUUGAACGCUGGCGGCAGGCCUAACACAUGCAAGUCGAACGAGUGGCGGACGGGUGAGUAAUGUCUGGGAAACUGCCUGAUGGAGGGGGAUAACUACUGGAAACGGUAGCUAAUACCGCAUACCAUCAGAUGGGCCCAGAUGGGAUUAGCUAGUUGGUGGGGUAACGGCUCACCAAGGAUACGAUCCCUAGCUGGGCGGAGAGGAUGACCAGCCACACGUGAACUGAGAAACGGUCCAGACUCCGACGGGGGUCAGCAGUGGUGAAUAUUGCAAAAUGGGCGCAAGCCUGAUGCAGCCAUGCCGCUUGUAUGAAGAAGGCCGUCGGGUUGUAAAGUACUUUCAGCGGGGAGGCGUUACCCGCAGAAGAAGCACCGGCUAACUCCGUGCCAGCAGCCGCGGUAAUUC
rnacentral:rRNA from 1 species